UGAACCUAUUUUGCGUUGAGCCGGACAGGA
rnacentral:piRNA from 1 species